GACGAACGCUGGCGGCGUGCUUAACACAUGCAAGUCGAACGGUGACCCAGGGCUUGCCCUGGUGAUCAGUGGCGAACGGGUGAGUAACACGUGGGCAACCUGCCCCUGACUUCGGGAUAACUCCUCGAAAGAGGAGCUAAUACCGGAUACGACCACUUCGGACAUCCGAUGGUGGUGGAAAGUUCUUCGGUCAGGGAUGGGCCCGCGGCCUAUCAGCUAGUUGGUGGGGUAAUGGCCUACCAAGGCGACGACGGGUAGCCGGCCUGAGAGGGCGACCGGCCACACUGGGACUGAGACACGGCCCAGACUCCUACGGGAGGCAGCAGUGGGGAAUAUUGCGCAAUGGGCGAAAGCCUGACGCAGCGACGCCGCGUGAGGGAUGAAGGCCUUCGGUUGGUAAACCUACUUUCUAGCAGGGACGAAGCGAAAGUAGACGGUACCUGCAGAAGAAGCACCGGCUAACUACGUAGCCAGCAGCCGCGGUAA
rnacentral:rRNA from 1 species